CUCAUUACAGAUCACACACAUCUGAAGAACGUCGUCACAUUUACAGUCUUAACUUUGCCUCAAAUCCACACUUUCCAGCUUCGGUGGGAAAAUGUGUAUCCAUGUGACUGUAAUUGAUCCCAAAGGUUUGGGAAAGCGCAUCAACCUGUGCGACAAUGAAGAGCAGAUGAAGCAGAUCACUGCAACGCAGCUGAAGGAGAAAAUUAUUGGAGAACUACUGAUGAGAGAUGAAAACAUCCGGAUGAUGUUUAAAGGGGAGAAGCUGGAUGGAGAGUAUCCGCUGUCAUCUUAUGGGAUCCAAAACAUGUCUACCAUUCGGACACUGCCGAUAGUGACUGGGGGAUAAAAAUAUGAAAUGGUCCUGAGGGGGUUCUCGUUGUCCCGGUGCUACAGCGGACUUCCUACGAGCCUCCCCAAAACACAGUCCACAGCAGACGAACUAGCAAUCGUUCCUCUUAAGAAAUUGUUUAAGUUAAUCAUGUGUGAAUCAAUUUUCUGUUCAUUUUUGUAUGUAGGUGGGUUUGUUGUGUACUUGAGCUGUUGUUUGUUUUGCUCUGUGAUUUGUAAAUAUUUUGCAUGUAGACUUUUGACUCUGCACCAAUGUUAGUGCAAGUGCACUUUUGACCUAGCGCACUUGCACCCACACACGUUAACCACAGCACCAUCUCUUAUCCGGUUCUUUUAUUUUUGUCUUAUUCAAAUAUUUGCGCAUGACAUUUCAGAGACCUCCUACCUAAUUUGCAAGGCGCACUUUGUUUUAUAUUUUUAUUGUCUCACUAACCUCCUCUGCCAGGUUAGGUCACUUUCACUUAGAUAUAAAUACAAAUAUCCAACUUUCCCCUUUGUCAGUUUUGAACACUGCUCUG